rnacentral:rRNA from 1 species
UACGUAGGGGGCUAGCGUUGUCCGGAAUCAUUGGGCGUAAAGAGCGUGUAGGCGGUCCGGUAAGUCCGUUGUGAAAGUCAAGGGCUCAACCCUUGAAUGCCGGCGGAUACUGUCGGGCUAGAGUCCGGAAGAGGAAAGUGGAAUUCCCGGUGUAGCGGUGAAAUGCGCAGAUAUCGGGAAGAACACCCGUGGCGAAGGCGGCUUUCUGGGACGGUACUGACGCUGAGACGCGAAAGCGUGGGGAGCGAACAGG